rnacentral:misc_RNA from 1 species
ACGAAUUUAUAAUGCUGGGGUUGUAGCUGGCCUUUCAAUCGAGAGGUACUGUGCACGCCUUGGUUAUUCCAAAUUCUUAUACCUCUGUGCACUUUACAUAGAAGAUUUAUUAGUCGGGUGAAAAGGAGGGUUGUAACCUCCCGGUAGUUCGACUCAAUGAUCUUCUGUGGUUCAUACAUUUAUACCAGUCAGUUCAGAAUGUAACACCGCGUUUAACGCAAACUAUAUA